AAAAUUCUAAUCAAAUCCUAGACAAAUCUUUGAAAAAUCCUAAUCAAAUUCUAAAAAAUUCUUAGACAAAUCCUAAUUAAAUUCUAGACCAAUCUUUAAAAAAAUUCUAAAUAAAUCUUAGAAAAAUUCUAAAAUUAACCUAAUAAAAUCCUAGAUAAAUUUUAGAUAACCUCUAAUCAAACUCUAGAUCUUAAACCAACUCUAAAUCAUAAAUAAAUUCUUAACAAACCUUAUGGCAGAUUGAAACUUCAAUAACUAACAAUCAAACUAUUGAUUUCAAUUCAAAUUUUGUACAUCUCUCAAAAACUAAGCUAUCAAUAAAAGAAAAUAUUUCAAAGAAGAUCAAACUCAUUAAAUAGAAGAUAAUUCCUAAAAUAUGCUUAGGUGUUAACUGACAUCUUUUUUUAAUCUUGAUGCCAAUCUCUUCAAGUUAAAAUCUCUUAAUU
rnacentral:lncRNA from 1 species